UCAUGAUUUCUAGACCUUUAAUCAUUUUUGUUGCCCUUCUCUGUAUUUUUUUUCAAAUUCAUCCCUCUAAAAACAGACACGGCUUUUUCUUUUUGCAUUGGAGACUUAGCCAAAGGCACUUACUCAUUCCUCCUAAUUCAGAGCAUGGGCCACUAACCAACGGGUGUCUGGAGUUGAGGGGCAUCAGGAGGACUUUAUAUAUUCCUCUAGCAUCCCGCCAUGGCCACUGCAGCAGAGAGGAUACUGGAGGAGAUGGGUCUUCGGGCUCUGAUUCCUUUGUUCCCCUUACUUUACAAGCGGGAAUCUAGGUGGAGGGGCAACAGUAAAUCUACAUCGUCAUUAAGCUCCCACUGAGGAAAACCGGGAGACUCCCAUUGAUUUCAGUGAAGGCUGGAUCAGGAUGGAAGGUUUAGUUUACACUAGGGAAAAGGUGUAUUUUGAACACAUUAGCAAACACCCAACAUCAUAAGAACAUCAGAACGGCCAGACUGGGGCAGCCCGAUGGUCCAUCCAGCCCAGUAUCCUUCUGCUGACAGUGGCCAAUGCCAGAUGCCCCAGGGGGAGGGAUCACAACAGGGAAUCAGUCAGUGAUCCCUGCCCUGUCGCCCAUUCCCAGCCUCUGACAAACAGAGGCCAGCGACACCGUCCCUGCCCAGCCUGGCUAACAGCCAUUGAUGGACCUGGCCUCGAUGAAUUUCUCUAGUUCUUUUUUGAAUCCUGUUAAAAUCCUGGUCUUCACAACCUCCUCUAACCCUUCUUCUUGGGAAAGAAAAGGCAAAAGAACAUAGAACACAGUGAGCAGCCAGCGAGUCGGCCAACCCCCCCCGAUCUCCCGCUGCCGCAGUUACUGUGCAUGCUCCCUCGCUCCCCGCUCAUCAACUCACAUCGGACAUCCAGAGUCACGGAGAGCUGCAUGGAUUCGUUCCGCACCAGCUUGCAGUUAAUGACAGGUGCAGUAAGAGGCAAAUCCUGUCCCCAGCAAACCGCCUGAGUAACCCCUCUGACUGGCGUGGGUCAGUAUGAAGAGAUCUUUCUCCAUGCAACAAGGUGACAACACAACACCUGGACAACUAAAACUACAGUCUCGGUAGCAGACGGGGAAAUUUCAACAUCUCUCACAACACACCUGCGCACUCCCCCACAUUAGAAAGAAGCAAGUGGCUGAGGAUUGCACCCAACCCCAUAUGAACUGAAUGUACCAACUUUUCUGAUUGAUUCCGAGUCCAAGAAGGAACAGAAGUGUUGUGUGGUUUUUUAGACUUUAAAGUGCUACCAGACUAUUGGUUGUUUUUUAAGUUCAUCCUGUUCAGACCAACUCGGCUCCCCUCUCAAGCAUUCAAAAAGAAAGAAGCAAACAACAAGCAGCCAAACAUUUUUACUGGACUAGCUGAAAAUAUUAAUUGGUGGCUACUUCAGUGUGUUGUCUGGCUAGGCCAUCAGGCCAUGGACACGGAGAAGGAUAUGCGACCAUGCAGCAGGGUUUUCUGACACCGCUGGUUUCUACAAUGUUUCUAGGGACAAGAAAGUAUGGCUUUUGGGAAAACAUGCAACAGAUCCCUACUGUGGCACUUUUGUACUUUGUAAAUUGAUACAGUUCAUGUGUAUUGUCUUAUUUUUGUGUCCACAGCCCUGUGACGGGAGGGGAGAAAGUCAGGGAUUUCUUUUGAAAUGGGGCACAGACUCAACAGUUAUUAAGCAGCGGCUGUCCUUCUUUAAAAAAAAUCAAACUGGCCUUCUUGGGAGAGGCCAGUAGUCUGCACAGAAGCCAAAGUUACUUCUCCCGGAUUUUGUUCUCAAGUCUGAUUUUUGUCUUUGCUGCUGCUUUAUGCUUUGUUUUUUUAAUAAGACCCUGCAUCUUGUUUGACCCCAUUUUCUGAUCUGUAAAACAGGAAUAAGAAGCUCACCUUCAAAAGGUGAGUUGUGCUGCUUAAUUAAGAUUUAUGACGCCACCUGAGAUCCUUGAUUGCCUCACGCUAUAAAGGCACAAAUUGUAAUUAUGCUUCAUUCAGUUUUCCUACCAGUCAGGAGAUGAGCUGUGUGUGUGUCAGCCUGCUUCUAGCAGUUGCUCAACCUGUUUCCAAACAGCUAUUCAAAGCACACUCGUGUCAUUGCCCUGCUUCAUUCAAAUAAAAUGUCUUGUUUUCAGCCACUCCUCCGCUAAUUUCUACUGAAUUCCAUCGAGGGAGAACAAUAAGUUAUUGUAUGUUGUUUGCAGUGCAGGUGUGCUAGAGAUCCCCGUCGUGAUCAGGCUAAUUGUGCUGGGCAUUGUGCAAACGUAAUAGAACAGCCUGCCCUGAAGUGCAGAUAUCAUCUAGUGCCCUGAUGCCGCUAAUGCAUCCAUGUUUCUGUGACUAUACAGAGCCUCACCAGCUGACGCAGCACCCUCUGCUGGCCCAGGGAUUUGCAGCGUUUAUAAAUAUAACGUUUUGCUCGGGGCAACUAAUAACUCCUGGGAUUCAAGCUGUCCAACGUGCAUGCCACUGAAGCGGGGACUGGAAUGUGUUGGAAGUUCUAACGCACACAACUGGCUGCAGGAGAGCAGAAGAGGGGAAGCUGCCGCUUCAGAUACAGCCGCCAAAUCCUUUUAAAUAACUGAUGGAGCAAGAAAAGCAUCUACUGUGGCUCUAACAUUGUAGUUAUUAACCAGUCAGUGCACAAGCCGCGCUACCCUUGCUGUGCUCUUAGCUGCACGCUCGUGAGCAUUACCUGUUACUGUCAGGUGGAACUCCUUCCUCUCUGCUCCGAGACCAGAGGUAGCCUCACAAGUGUAUGUUCCGUUGUCAGAUUUCUGUACUUUCUUGAUAGUCAGCUGGAAGACCUCGCUAGUCUGGUGUAUCUGGUAGCGACCUUUCUCCAGGCUCAGGCUGCUGUUGUCUUUACACCAGACCAUGUGAGCUUGAGGGUUGGAAUUCACAUUGCAAGUCAGGCUCACGUCACUCUUUUCUUCUGCCGGGGGAGGGUUUCCCCAGACCGGCGAGGGGCAACUGUUGACAACAAGCAGUUAUGUUAAUGACAGAUUUACCAGAAUACCAUGUGGUACAGUCAGAGCAAGGGAAGAGGGGCUGGGAGCAGGAGAGAGACGGGACUCCACCAAGGAGAGGUCUGAAACUGAUCACGUGACAGCUGGAGAGGGCCACCUUUAUGUCAUCAGAGCUUCAGGCAUCACCUUUCAGCUUUUUCACUGAGCAAAAUCUUGGUCUUUACAGCGUAAUAAGUAAUGGAUAGUAACCAUCGUGCUGCAAAAUCCCAGUGGAGCCAAAGAGUAGACAGCUUUUAACGUGAGGAAGCCAGGUGGGGGUAAUCCUACAUCUCCCACCCCAUGGUCGAGCUCACCUAGCCAUAGCCUGGUAAAAGUUAAAGUGCCAUGUUUCUCCUAGGCUUUGACAGUGGGGUGGCAAAAACAAACCACUGGAAACAUCUAGCCUCUCCCCUCACCCAUUUUAUUUAUUUAUGUAUUUAUUGCAUUGGAGACUUGGUUAAAUUAUUCCUCCUAAUUCAGAGCACAGGCCACUGACCAACUGGAGUUGGCGGCUGAGGGGCAUUAGGAGGAGUUUAUAUAUUCCUCUAGCAACCCAUCGUGACCACUGCAGCAGAGGGGAUACCAGAGGAGAUGGGUCUUUGUGCUCUGAUUUUUUUUGUUGCCCUCUCUGUACAAGUGGGAAUCUAGGUGGAGGGGCAACCGUAUCUCAUUCGUCUUUCAUAGAAUACUCAGAAUCAUAGAACACUAGGACUGGGAGGGACCUCGAGGGGUCAUCGUGUCCUGUCUUUGUCGUCAUCAAGAGCCUUAUCCAGCUUCCACCUAGGAAAGUUGAAGGACUCCCGUUGAUUUCAGUGAAGGUUGGAUCAGGAUUAAGAUUCCCUCUAAGCUGGGCGGUAGCACAGCCCCACAGCUGCUUAAUCAGCCCUGCCCAGUCAAGGGCUCAAUGCUCAGCACACGGAGCUGCCUGGCUGGAGGAGGAGCACGUCUCCCGCAAGGACAGCAGCAGCUCCCUGCUGAGGACAGAGCAGCGAAUCUCUCCCAGCCAGUCCCCUGUGCAGAGGCUUUCCCUGUUCAGAAACGCUCAGCACUUAACCCUCCUCGCUUACAAGGGCUGAGCUGUGACGUGUUUAUGGCUCUUCAGUGUCAAGUGAGUCACAUGAACUGGGUUCAAGGCCUCGCUGUAUGGCUCAUCCACAAAACACCAGUCAGCAGCAGGGAUUCUUCCUGCACAGCUCCCUGUUUUAUGGGGCUCAGAGAAGCAAUGAGUAACCAAGUUACUGUGGCAGCCAUUGCUGAUUUCAACCCAAAAUGAGGCAUGUUUCCUUCUCAGCUUCCCUCCUGUUCUGGGGCCUGGGCCUGCCUUCACCCAUGCCAGUGGUAGCUGACUGGAAAUGGGCUCCAACUUGGAAGCAAGUGUUUGGCAAUAUGAGAGCAGGGUCACUGCAGUGACAUAUGAAAUACAAACCAGUCCCCUCCUAAGGGUGACUCAUGCGCUCAGUCCUAAAGCACUCAGACCCUGAUUUUCCCCUCUGGGACUGACCCCAUCCCAGCCCUCUGCUGAGGCACCUCGCUGCUGAUCCGCAGUGCCCUGUCUUAUUUCUG